GUGAGUCAUCGAGUCUUUGAACGCAUAUUGUGCUUUCUGGUAUUCCGGGGAGCAUGCCCAUUUCAGAAUCAUUAAAAGUCUCACAAUCAGGUUUCGGGGGUCACUUUUUUGUGGUCCUGAGUGUUCUAUCUGAUGAUAGUCAUUUUAAAAGCAAAGGUAUCUACUGUCACUAGGAAAUGCUGAUUUCGUUAAAGUGCAACAGAUUCUUUCUUCACUUGAAAUCUGUAUGUUGUAUCCUGUUUGGUAGAUAUUGAUUUAUAUUUAUACUAAUCUUCAGAUCUAGUUUAGUUCUGUCGUUUGAAAUCUUGGUCUGAAAUUGGGCAAGAAAACCCGCUGAACUUAAGCAUAUCAAUAAGCGGAGG
rnacentral:rRNA from 1 species